rnacentral:lncRNA from 1 species
UUUUUUCUUUUCUUUUUUUUUUUUUUUUUGAAUCCCCUCUCCUCACCUUUCCCCCCUCCCCCUGUAGAUAACUGGCUGCUCCAGGAGUUAGAGAAGAAGAACGGAGAUGAACAUGAAUAGUAUAUGACCACUUGAAAACAUCGUCUGAUCUUUCUCCUUUGUUUUACUUUAAAGACUGAAUCUUCUGUGCUUCUGUCUCCCCAGUCAGUAUUCCAUAUUUUUUUUUUCCCAGCAGAAUUUUCCCCAAUGGCAUUUAGUAGCUAAAAUGCCAAUUUGGAGCAGCUAGUGAUUUCAAAGCAAAUGCACUUGUUUCCUGAAUAACUACAGAUACUCGGAGAAACCCUAUUCUUCCUGAGAUACGCUGCUUUCAGAAAAAAAAAAAAAAAAAAAAGCCUAAUGUUUUGUUUUCUUUAAGGUUAUAGGAUUAUGGAUACAUAUUUUAAAAAAAAAAAUCCCUUCUCAUUUCAGACUUUUGAUAUUCAUUCAGCAGAGCAGACAUGGCUACUGUGAGCCUGUGGUCAGAAAGCAAGACCCCAGGGGUCAUUGCAUAGUCCUCAAUGCUGCUUAUCUGAACCCUUUGCAAUUCGAUCAUCUCAAGAUUCCUACUAGCAUUUUUGAAAGGUUUUAGAGAAAAAGCCAAUGCAAUGAAUUUCAAGAUUCCACUUUGGUAAGCAGUACUUCACAAACUUGACUGUGCUUACCAGAAACCAGGGAAUCUUUCAGAUGAGGAUUCUGGUCUGGUAGGAAGAGAAGGGAUGGGAUUCAGCAUUUCUAGCAAGCUCUCUGACCACACCCUGAUUAUUAGGACUUAGUCAACUUGGGAAGUUGAAUUCACUUCCAUGAGUGGGUGCAAUGGCCGCAAGGACUCCACCAUCUUUUUUCUUUAGAGGGCUUAAUAAUCAAGACUUCUCAGUGUAUUGAACUGUUAAGGAGUGAAGAGACCUUCCUCCUAUUACUGGUUUUGUUAUUAAUGGACUAUGUGACUUUGAGCAGUCACUUUUUGACCCACGGCCAAUUUAUCUAUUAAAACUGAAGAGUAAACCAAAAUAAAUGAACAAACGUACCUGGUCCUGGAUGGGAGACUCAAUGUUGUAAAUUAAUUUAUAAAAUUAAUGUAAUUAUUAUUAAAAGCCCACUAUAAUUUUUCAUGGAACUUGAAAAGUUAAUCUUAAAAUGUGUUUGUGGGAGCAAAGGGUCAAACCUGUCAACAUAAUUUUAUAUACAAUACAAUUAAGAGCAAGAUAUGAACAACUUCCAUAUUAACUAUUAAGACAAUAGAAAAUGACAGUAACUGAGGGCAAUGUAGCUUUGGUUCAGGGAUAGAAAUUUAGUUCAAUGGAAUAGAAUAGGGGGCUCAGAAAUAUAUCCCUGAAUUUAUGGAAACUUGAUAAAGAACAGGUGGCAUUACAGAGCAGUGAGGAAAAAUUAAUUAUUCAGACGAUAGAUUAAGCAUAUGAAAAAAGUAUAAUUCACACCUAAAUAUGUAUUUAAGGAUACUGA